rnacentral:rRNA from 1 species
GACGAACGCUGGCGGCGUGCCUAAUACAUGCAAGUAGAACGCAGUUGCGAACGGGUGAGUAACGCGUAGGGAACCGCCUCAUAGCGGGGGAUAACUAUUGGAAACGAUAGCUAAUACCGCAUACUGUGAGAUGGACAUGCGUUGUAUUAGCUAGUUGGUGAGGUAAAAGCUCACCAAGGCGAAGAAACAUAGCGCACCUGAGAGGGUGAUCGGCCACCACGGGACUGAGACACGGCUCAGACUCCGACGGGAGGCAGCAGUAGGGAAUUUUCGGCAAUGGACGGAAGUCUGACCGAGCAACGCCGCGUGAGUGAAGAAGGUUUUCGGAUCGUAAAGCUCUGUUGUUAGAGAAGCGGUACCUAACCAGAAAGGGACGGCUAACUACGUGCCAGCAGCCGCGGUAAUUC